CACGUAGGGGGACGAGCGUUGUCCGGAUUCAUUGGGCGUAAAGGGCGCGUAGGCGGCCCGCUAAGUCGAACGUGAAAUCCCCGAGCUCAACUCGGGAACUGCGUCCGAUACUGGCGGGCUUGAAUCCGGGAGAGGGAUGCGGAAUUCCAGGUGUAGCGGUGAAAUGCGUAGAUAUCUGGAGGAACACCGGUGGCGAAGGCGGCAUCCUGGACCGGCAUUGACGCUGAGGCGCGAAAGCUAGGGGAGCAAACGGG
rnacentral:rRNA from 1 species